ensembl:lncRNA
GCUCAAUGCCUGUUUACCAGGUUGCCAUGUGGGCACAUAUGCAUAAAAAUGGGUGCUUGGGAAACAGUAGAGAAAGUGAUACUUAGGAUUGCACAACAUUAAGUAACCAUGAACAUAAGGUGGCACAAAGUCUGGGGCUUUGAUGUGUUGGUUCAGGCCCACCAUAAGCGAUAGAUGGCCACACAAACACUGGAGUGUUACUUAAUUCUUUGUAAAGGAGAUACCAUCACAUCUCGUUGACCAUCAGAAUGCAAAUCCGUGUAACUUUGACAAGAACAAACUGUAUAACUCAAGAAGAUAUAAAAAAGUAACUACAUUUGGUAAUCAAUCAGGAGAGAUUUGCUACAACGAUAUGGCAUCUAUAGCAAGAUACUAUAACACGAGUGUCUCAUACCAUCCCUUCCUGCAUUUUUGGAAAUCAGAUCUUCAAUUCUAGGAUGAAAAACAUGUUAAAACCUUGAAAUAUUGAAUAAGCACAAAACCGUUACAGUCUACAGUGCAAAAACACGGAUGUUAAUGAGAUACAAUAGAUCAAGAAAGAAAGACUUUGUAGAAGCUGUGCUCCACCAUCAAAGAAUGCGUAUUGUCAUCAUUAAAAUGUCAUAUACUUCAAACCUAACAGUAAAGCUUCUUACCAUGAAUACGUUCAUCUUUUGUUAUGGGAUGACUUGUUGAAGUGGAUGAAGUUAUCAUUCUGGCUAGAAGAAACAGCUGUCUUUCAUUUUGCACAUAGAAUAUAUCUAUAGAGAGAACAAUGAGACUGUUUUACUUGACCAUUCAAUUUGGCCUGGAAACAGUGCCGAAGUCCUCUGUGUAUCUAUGAAAUGGUUAUCUCAACCUCUGGAAAGAUUUUUUUUUGUGAGAAUGAUAUGAAGUUUUCCCACUUAAUAUUUUUUCAGGGUUACGGAGUUUUCCAAGUAAAGAAGUUAAAUGAAUUGGAUGCAAAACAUACAAGUGCAUUUUGCCUGGUAUCUAUAGCCUGUUGUCUGAAAGAUCCUAUGUGUUUGACAUAAUAGACAAUGAACUUCCUUCUGCUUCCAGUUACACUCAUAUACGUCUGGAGUAACACCUUCGGAAUCUGAGAUGAGUUCUGCCUCAAUCUCUCUCUUUUUAGAUGCUGGACAAAGGCCAGUAUUUUACUUUGAAUAACUGCCUCUAAUGUUGGGAUUCUAUUCAUAAGUAACCCAUGAGAGGUGCAUUAAAAAACAGAGCUCUAAAUUUAGGGUAACAGUGGCCAUUUAAAGUCUAUGCUACAUAAAUCUAAAGACUAACCCAUACAUUUCAGGAAAUAUAUUUCUGUGUCCCAUGCCUGCAGCUGAAGAGCAGACAUGCCCACACAGGCUUUGCAGCUUGCAGACAGGCUGGAAUGAGAGGCUGUUGCAUGUUCACGAGAGGCAGGAUCCCUCUGCUAUUCCCUUUUCACGUGUUUUCUGCUUAUCUGGUUUUAAUAUUUCCUUAAAAAAAUUAAGAACUACAUCCCAGCCCCAUUUUCAUAAGCAUUUGGAGCUUCAGAAGGCCUUGCAAGCUGUUGUAGUGAUUGCGUGUUACAUCAUUCAUUCAUCCUCUUGAGAAAUGACACUGCCGCAGUUUUUCACUCAUCUCUUUGGUUAAGUGCUUUUGUAAUUUGUAUUAAACUGUAAACCAACUUCAUAAAAUAACCCAGUUUAAAAUGAAGCAAAAAAAGUGUUUUGGAGUUAUCAUUUUCCUAUCAAAUUAUUUCACGUUCUGUAACAAAUGUAGUUAAAUUAUUAUAAGAUCUUUGCUUUGCAACUAAUUAUUUGAAAAACAUCAGUGAUGUAGAAAUACGUAAGUCUAAAAUUGUGCCAUACAAAACUGACUACACAGGGACUGAACAAAAUGGCUUGUACUGAGAUGGAAACAUCCUUCCAGUCUUUCAUAUGAAGUUGUAGAGUGUAUAAAUAUGCUCAGUUUCUCUCCAUAAUCUUUUUCUUUUUUUUUUGAGAAAUUCACAUCAGCAACAUUUUCUGACUGCAUGAGUUUUGAAUUAUUUUAUAUUUUGUUAGGAAUACUUCCUGUCUUUACUUGCAUACUAAGUCUUAAAUGUAUUUUCUCGCAUUUGAGAGACAAGUGUAUAGUAACUGCAUCUCUGCCUACUUAACAACUCGUGUAAUGUGUUUCUCAUUUCAACAAUUCCCACCACUCAGCUCACAGUUUCAUUAAUUUUUCAGGUGAAGUUUUGCUGAUAUAUGGUUAAGAGAUUGAAAACAUUUAAAUCCAUUAAACUCUCUUUCUCUGCUACAAGCUGUUCUUAGAGUAAUUUGCUUAGUGUUAAUACAACAUCACUCUACACCACUCUGUCAAAAACUGAACUAAAAAUUCACACUUCUGAAGACACGAGUUAGUAAAUCAGUUUUGCACUAGCUCAGGUAGAAUUUCCCAAUAAUAAACCUAUCACUAAUAUUAAGAAUGACAUGGGUAAAAUUAUAUAUAGUGGUUAAUAUGAAAACACACUGAGUUUCUGUUUCGGGGAGAAGGGCAAGAGGUAAGAUAAUAAAACUCGAAAUGCUAUUUUUUUAAUUACAAAAAAAAAAAAAAAAGGAAAAUAAUAUUUUUUUCAGCAUCCAAAUUGUAUUAAACUUAGGUAUGACAAAAUCCAAAGUCCUGAUGGUAGUACUCAAGUCACAGACAGGAUACCUAGAUAUCUGGCCAGUUGGCCUGGCUUGGCCUGCAAUCAUUUACAUGGGAUUAGAAAUCAUUCCAACUUUAAAUAGUAUGUUUUAAAAUGUAACUUUGUGUAUAGAUUAUUUUCUAUGAAGUAAACAGUGUCAUCAAUAUUGACUAGACUUAGAGUUACUAGGCGAAGUCUUGACGUCCCUACAUACUUUGAUUCAGUUUGAAGGAAUUUAAGAAAGUUUUAGCUCGAAAGAAUUGUCUUAAACUUUAAACUACUCUAUGCUUGUGGGUAAAUCUCUCUGGAGUAAAACAAAGUCUUUAAUUUACUUUGUUAUGCACUAGAUGUGGCCCAAAGGGCUGAAAAAAUUGAAACAUAAGAGUAGGCCUUUAUUUGAGAUUGUGCAUGCACCUGCUUGGAAAACCAAGUUAUCCGAACUUAAGAAGGCACCAGUUGUUAGAAUACUAUCAAAUAGCAUAAAACUUGCAAAUCAGCUGUUCAUUCUGUGCUAGCUAGUGCCUGUAGGGAACAGAGAAAUACCUGGAUGAAAUAUUUGAGUACGAAUUAUACAUAUGGCAUAAGGGGAGGGCUGAUCUUUCUGAUGACAGUGAAGGUUCUGCUCUUCAGAGUUCCUAAGCCUUGAAAAAUAAUUUGUUGGAAGGACUUCCAGGUUUUGGUGUCUGUAGUGCUUGUGAUGGGGAAAAAAAUCCAGUGCAUUUAAUAAAAAAAAAAUUGACAAGAAGCCAUUUAACAAAGAAAUCAUGACAUGGGUAGUCACUAAACUGUUCAAUAUUGGAAAUAAUGUUUUUUUCUUUUCCCCUUCCAGAAUAAAUACAAUGGCUGAACGGCUAAUGUUUCAUGUGCACCUUGGCAAUAGGACAAAGAUUUUCCAGUGAGUUUGGGAAAGUUUUCAACUUUAGUGUGGGCAUGGCUCCCCUGAGGCCUUCCUAACGCUUCCCUGCCCACCUGGGAAGCCAGCAUCAUGGACCCCACGCCCUACCAUGCCAAACGGACAGGCAAAGUUGGUGCACAGAUGGGGACUGCUGGAUGCUAAAAAGGUGCCACUACCUGCCCAUGUUGUGGAGCAGCCCGUUAUUUCAAGGUGCUGGGUUCAUUGUCAAUUAGAGUGGCAGCAACGGCGAGCAGCAGCUGUCACAGAUGGCUGGGCUCCAGCCUCCUUGUGGAAAUGGGAUCAGAGCCAACUCAAAUCUUUUCUUUCCUCUUAAAAAAACAAAAAACAAAAAAAUCAAUAAAAAGGAAAAGAAGAAAGAUCCCCAAAUCAACAUGCAGUUGUCAGUUAAGACAAUUAGGGAGAAGUAGCAUAUCUACAAAGGCAUCGCUUAUCUGUUCUAUAUUAACCCCUACAUUCAAAUUUUUGAAGUCAAGAUUUUGUUUAUUUAUUACUUAUUUCAAACUUUUUUUAGGAUGUCCAACUCAGGAGACAGUUUAUGUUAAAUCUUUGUUCCGAGAGGAAUUUACAAAAUGCUUUGCUGAUAACUGAAACAACUUAACUCAGUUAUUAGAUUUUUAAUUAGAGAACUCUUGCAGAACCAUUCAAUUUUUAGUUCAGAGCAAAGAACAUUAAAAUGCAUCUAAGACUGACCUUGCUGUUUCUGGUGAAGUCUGAUUACAUUGAGAUUAUAUUCAAUCUGUGUUAAAGAAGAGUCAUAGCACCCUUCCCAAUCUCAUAUAGAAAAGAUCCGAGGUGAUAUCUAACCAUAUCAUUUUUAUUUCCAACUGAUUUAGGGUGUCUGGUACCUCUGUUCCUCCCUAGGCUCACCCAGUUUCAGCCUAAACCUGCCCUUGCAGUCUCAAAGGAAAUGCCUCAAAUUCCUGUUACCCAGCGUAGGACAAACAGCACAAAAACGCGUAGUCAACACAGGCCACAUCUUUACUGCCAUGUGGUCUACAGCAGGAGCAAAAUUGUAGGCCUCAGAGUUAUAACUUCAGUGUUCUAUCAGGAAGUGAGAUGGAAUAGACAAACAGGGAUGGCAGGCUAUCACAAGUCCUACUCAUGCUUCAUCGGCAGCCAUUUUCAAAACACAAUUGAAGAAUAAUCUUGAAAUUGAGUGAACUGAGACUGCUUAUAGUGAAUACAGGAUUUGGCUGGUAGUGGGUAUAAAUCAAAGAAGAAAACCCGUUUAGAUUCCUUGCCAAGUAAUUUAGUUAUUCUUUGAGAAAGAGGUUGUUAAUAGUGUUUGUAAUUGAGUACAGUCUUAGAACAGCACAAAGGCAAAUUGUUGUUAUUGUUACUAUUAAUCUAAGCUUUGUAAUUUUUUUAUAUAAAAAAAAAUCUUCAAGAUGAAUUCAGCACUGGAAAGGGACUUAAUGAACAGUUACUCUUAGUGCUUAUGAUGUAAAGAUUUUAUUUACUUACUCAACAUUUUCCUCAUUUCUUAAAUACAUGAAAUGAAAUCAGGUUAUUCUUUUAUUUUAUCAAAGUUUUUGUUUGUUUGUUUGUUUGUUUUUCUUUUCCAUUUGUCUACAGGGAAAGAAAAAGUUUUCUCUUAACUUCUGAUGCAAGAUUUGUUAUUUGUGUAAUGGCAGGACGAGAAACUAGUCUCUCUUAUUAAGUAUCUGUAGAAUUCAGCUUGGUCUGUCAAAACCAUAACUGCAUCUUGUAAAUGCUCUGCAGUCUAAGUCAGUGAAAUAUGUAGAGUAGAUUAUCCCAUUUGGCUUUAUUAUUUUCUGUCUUUAUAUGGACUGUUCUAAAUUGUGUAAGCUAUGACCAGUCAUUCUUUCUUUACUGAAAAACUUCUUGUACCCCAUGCAGGUGUACGAAAAACAGAAAGAAGGUGAGAAACCUGCUGUUUGGAUUUUUCAGAUGGAGAGCUGAUGCACAAAGAGAAUAAAAUAAUUGACGAUGGUCACAUAAGCAGCAUGGAUAAGAAACGCAGUUUCCAGGUUUCAGUCAGGCCACCUAGUCAUGUAAUCAGCUCCCAUACUUUGAAGGUCAAGCAGGUCAAAACAGGGAGGGAUAGACUCAAGUCCUUUAAAUUGAAGUGUUUACACUUCUCUUUAAAUAAAUAGAGAAUCUGUCUUAAAUUCCAUGGACUUUGAGCCAUAGUUUGUAAAGAGGUGAAUAAAAUUAUUUUAAAAAAAUAACAUAUUAAUGAAAAUAAAUUAUUUUAUAAUAUAUAGCUUACUGGGUAGCUUUGUAUCCAAUUACCCAGGUAAGAUAGAAGCUGAGCCAGAGACCCUUUCCUUGUAUCUAAAUAAUAAGUAAGUCAUCCACUGUUUUACAGUGAAAAACUGAAAAAUACUUGGAUAAGUUGCUUUGAAAAGUUAAAAUUAGCAAGACAUUGUUUUAUAAUGAUUAUUCAAAUUCCUCUGUAAUCAGACUUUGGAAACAGUGCUUUAGGAUGAUUUUAAAUGCAUCAAAGUACCCAUUUCACUAAUUAUAUUACAUCUACAAUUUCAGGGAGAAUAGAAAUUGAGAUCUAUGUCAAGGUUAAAGUCAGGUUUAAAACGAAAAGAUACCUUCCGCUGUUAAGCAAGUGAGUAACUUUACACAUGGGAACUAUUCCAUUUGCCACUGUUCAUGUGUAUAAUCCCAUAUCAUUACACUGGAGUUUAAUUCUUCUAAUCCUUAUUUUGGACUGGGUCCCAUUACUAUUUUUUAAAAGACUGCUCAUCCAUUCCAGUGCAUAUUUUUGAUUAAAAUGCAAAAGAACUUUAAGUUUUUUCUCAAGACAAAAAUAUUUGAGAAGUUGCUCCUUUCACUGGCACAAAACUUACUGUUUCUACUAUCAGUAGAUAAAGAUAAUUUAGUAAUAAUUGAUAGAGAUGAUAUGCAAAUGAACAUCAAUACUCUGUAGCAAGGAAAAAAAAGAUAAGGGCCGUUCUUUCAUACAAGGCCACCUUGUAGCUCUUAAUUAACUUGCAGCCUCUGCAAUAUCUUGUAUAUUGUUGACAUUCCUUAGCUUGGGCUAACAGUAACAUGCAUACAAUGCUCCCAUCACACCCUUCACUAGUUCAGUCAACUCUAUUCAUGUGUUACACACCUGUGCAUAUUUGCAGUCCAUUUAACUGUGGUGAGAGAAAUAUUAGCUUUCAAGGUGGACUCAAUAAAGGUGUUUUACCCCCUUUUUGUACUUCACAGUCACUAAAGGAAUUGAAAGUCAGAGACCCUACAUGUUAUUAUUAUUAUCUUUUUAUGGUAUCGUGAUCUUGUAUCAGCCUUGCUUCAUCAAAUAGGUAGGGAUGCAUGCAUCAACAGAAAUAUUACACCAGACAGCAUGUUCGUUUUCUCUCAGCUGUGUCAGUUUGUCUAAUGAGAGACAAAUUUUCUCCUUCCUCUAUUUAAGAUAGUCAUACAUUUUACAUUGUGACCACCUUGAAUAUUCAAAUCCUGUAGGAGGAUUCAGUUAUUUAGAAACGGAAAACUUUUGAUGUUGUACAUUGCAAGAUUGUACCAGAAACCGUGUGGAAUAUUUUAAAGAAAUUAUUAGAUUAUUAAUGACAGCAAUUUGGUAAUUUAUAGCAACUUCUAAAUUCAUUUCAAAUGUCUGCUCAGUGGAUGGAGAGAAUCUUAUUAUCUGCAAACUACUGCAGUCUGUAGUUAAACACAAAAGUUAUUGCUAAGUGCCUGGUCUUCUGCUUCAGAGAAAUGGUGGUGCUUGAAGGAUCUGUAUGUUGUCAUGUUUGGAAGAUAUUUUUACAGUUGACAGCUUUUCCAUUGUCACAGUGGUCAAAUUUGGGCAAAAUUUAAUCCCAUUGUUGAACUGAGCUUGAGUUUAACCCCAAAUCUAUUAUCUGAUAGCCACAAUUCUACCUUUGUACAUAAUUAACAGUUUAUUGAUGUUUGAUCUGAAUGAAGACACUUUACAUCUAAUUUAUCUGGAAUUUCACUGCAACCAGAGCCAAGAAAAAUUUCUUAAUUAUUACUUACAGUAUAUUUAUUGUCUACUACAAGCUACUUGCUGUUGACUAGUGAAAGUGACUGUUAUUAUUACUCAUGACUAAAAUAAAAACCAAGUGAGAUAUUUGUUUACAAAAAUCUUUAUGUAAGAUAUCUACAUCUAGUGUGGAUGAUGUUUAGGUGCAUAGAGCUCAUCAAAUUUCACUGUGAGCUUUGCGUCAAAUGAUGAAUUAAAAGUAACUUAGAAGAAAACAUGAACAACUGGUAACAUCCUCUCUUAAGUCUUUUCUCAAUUCUCCUUUCCCAAAUUCAUUCUCAGAUAGACCAAGGAUACAUGCUACCUCUGCUGAAGAUAGACAAAAGCCCUAAUUCAUGUUUUAAAGGCUCAUUCUCAUCUGUUACUGAUUUACUCUUUUAUAUGAAGCUCUUCUAGUAGAUUAUAUUGUACUGUCAGAGAACAACAUGAAUAGAUUUAUUAUUGAAUGAAUGAAUAAAAAUGGAAAACGAAAAAAUUUUUGAAACCUGUAUGACAAGCAUGGAAAAAAGUUGUAAGCUGGUAGAACCUGUGUGGUGAAAGCAGUUCCCCUUUGCUUCAGCUUAUUGUAGUAACAUUCAAAGAAAUCAGUGAAAUUCUUAGAGUGGGAAAAAUAUUACGGAACAGAUUAUAGACAUGAAUCCAUCAGAAUCAGGUAUUUUGCUAAACAAAUAGAUAAUUAUUUUAGUAUUUUA